AUUGAACGCUGGCGGCAGGCCUAACACAUGCAGGUCGUGCGGAUGAGUGGAGCUUGCUCCAUGAUUCAGCGGCGGACGGGUGAGUAAUGCCUAGGAAUCUGCCUGGUAGUGGGGGACAACGUUUCGAAAGGAACGCUAAUACCGCAUACGUCCUACGGGAGAAAGUGGGGGAUCUUCGGACCUCACGCUAUCAGAUGAGACUAGGUCGGAUUAGCUAGUUGGUGAGGUAAAGGCUCACCAAGGCGACGAUCCGUAACUGGUCUGAGAGGAUGAUCAGUCACACUGGAACUGAGACACGGUCCAGACUCCUACGGGAGGCAGCAGUGGGGAAUAUUGGACAAUGGGCGAAAGCCUGAUCCAGCCAUGCCGCGUGUGUGAAGAAGGUCUUCGGAUUGUAAAGCACUUUAAGUUGGGAGGAAGGGCAGUAAGUUAAUACCUUGCUGUUUUGACGUUACCAACAGAAUAAGCACCGGCUAACUUCGUGCCAGCAGCCGCCGUAAGAC
rnacentral:rRNA from 1 species